rnacentral:ribozyme from 1 species
GUCAGAAAUGGCUACGUUAAUGGGUUAGGAUUCGAGACCACCUUUGUCUUUGCACAAGCUCUUCUAACCAACUCCUAUUCCGUCAAGUGCUCGUCGUGCAGAGUAAUAACUUGCCCGCACGCAUAUACAAGCUUGGGUACACGGGAUAUACCCAACCGCUGCCCAAGCUCCCAAUUAUCACCAAUAAAGGAUCAUAGCUGAACAGCAGGUG